GAGUUUGAUCCUGGCUCAGGACGAACGCUGGCGGCGUGCCUAAUACAUGCAAGUCGAGCGGACAGAUGGGAGCUUGCUCCCUGAUGUUAGCGGCGGACGGGUGAGUAACACGUGGGUAACCUGCCUGUAAGACUGGGAUAACUCCGGGAAACCGGGGCUAAUACCGGAUGGUUGUUUGAACCGCAUGGUUCAAACAUAAAAGGUGGCUUCGGCUACCACUUACAGAUGGACCCGCGGCGCAUUAGCUAGUUGGUGAGGUAACGGCUCACCAAGGCAACGAUGCGUAGCCGACCUGAGAGGGUGAUCGGCCACACUGGGACUGAGACACGGCCCAGACUCCUACGGGAGGCAGCAGUAGGGAAUCUUCCGCAAUGGACGAAAGUCUGACGGAGCAACGCCGCGUGAGUGAUGAAGGUUUUCGGAUCGUAAAGCUCUGUUGUUAGGGAAGAACAAGUACCGUUCGAAUAGGGCGGUACCUUGACGGUACCUAACCAGAAAGCCACGGCUAACUACGUGCCAGCAGCCGCGGUAAUACGUAGGUGGCAAGCGUUGUCCGGAAUUAUUGGGCGUAAAGGGCUCGCAGGCGGUUUCUUAAGUCAC
rnacentral:rRNA from 1 species